ensembl:lncRNA
UAAAAUCUGAAUAUUUUAAUAACAUUAUAUAUUAUUUUCAAGGCCAUAGUAUAUAUUCUUCUCUAAUCAAGUCUGUUAUGUUUCUCCGCAAAGUGCUAUUGUUUAGUUUUAUUUUUGUUUACUUUUAAAUCUAGGUUCUAUUCAUAUUUGUUAAAGUCAUUCGUGUAAUUCAUACUUUAUAUCUUACUGUGAAUUUUUUUCAUUAUAUUUUAAACUAAUGAUAUAGUGGAGGGAAGAAGUAUUGCUUUUGUAAAUUUCUCUUUUAUAAUCACCUUUUGCUGAAAAUCAGUUUAUUAGUUCUAAAGUUUCUUGAGUUUGUAGGGUGUGUCUGUGUGUGUGUGUGUCUGUAGAGGGUGGUUGAUUCUUUGGACUUUUCCAGCUAAAUCUAUCAUUUUCAUCUCCAGCUUCCUAUUUCCCAUAGUUCCUCAAGACAGAGGAGGUACAGAAGUUCUUUGUCCUGAUCCUGCAGCUUUUCUGUAACUUUGAAGCCAUUUUACCUUAAAAUGUUGAAACAAUUAGAGGAUGGGGCUGCCGGCUCCAGUGAAGAUUGGAAUAUUCUGCUUCCUGCCCUGAGAGCAUCAGACAGCCCACACAUGCACCCUGUCAGAAACAGCUGGAUGACUAGAUGAAAUGCUCAAAAGGCCUUGGAAAGCAGGCAUCACAGGAGAAGAGGGAGGAAAUGAGAGAAACUUUUCCAUGUCCGUAAGUAGUGCUGCUGUCCUGCGGUUGACAGGACGAGGAGGAGGAGGAACAGUGGUGGGGCUCCUCGAGGUCAAAGUUCUUCACGAGGGCGAGGCAGAGGCAGAGGUGAAUGUGGUUUCUACCAAGGAAGCUUUGAUGAAGUGGAUGUUUGGCCGAGGAGGCAGCAGGGAAAUGGACAGGUCACAGAGCUGGGAGGAAAGAUAACUGAAGGAGUCACAUCUUGGGACAAAGAUUCUUGGUGUAAAAGCAUUUCUUCUCUGCUUUCUGCAGAGGAGAAGGCUCUCUGUACAGUUACAAGGUGUCAUUUUCCCCCAAAAUGCUAAUUGAAUAAGAAUUAUAUUAGAAAUGUUUAAACGAUCCUUACUUAAAGGAAGAAACAUUCUAGAUAAAUACAUUAAUAUUUUUGUGCCAGCAUGGAUAUUUAAUAGUUAAUUAGAUGUGCUGUUUGAUUAGCACUCAGUGAGACACAUUUUCAUUUUAUUGUUUGUUGCUGUUAAUCAAAGCAUCUUCUCUAUAUAUUGCUUGUGACUUUAUAUGAAGUCUUUCAAGCUAAGCAAAGGCAGUUGCACAGAUACAUAUACAAAGAUGUCCGUGUGAUAACAUGUAUAAUAUAAAACAAUGGGAAAUAAGCCAAACAACUUAAUUUCAGUGUGGUUUCUUAUAUAAUGGCAUAUCUACACAAUUGUUAUUGUUUGGUCACUAAAUCAUGUCUGACUCUUCUGUGACCCAAUGAACUGUAGUCCAACCAGGCUCCUUUGUCCAUGGAAUUUCCCAGCAAAAAUACUGGAGCGGGUUGCCAUUUCCUCUUCCAGGGGAUCUUCCCAACCUGGGAAUCAAACCUGCAUCUCCUGCGUUGGCAGGUGGAUUCUUUACCUCUGAGCCACCAGGGAAGCCCUGUCUACACAGUAGAAUACUAUAUGUACCAUAUAACCAUAAAAGUUAGGAUGAGUUUGAAAAUAUUUAAUCCUGUGUAAAAACACAUUCUGAAAGCAGUUUAUAAAGCUCUGUAUAGCAGAUACCUAAAAUCAAACAUGAAUUUGGCUAAAAAUGUAUCUAAUAAAAAAAGCUUCUAGGUCUGUAUAAGCUAGCUU